UAGGAAUGUACCUUAAAGAGGGGACAACCUGGGGAAACUCAGGCUAAUACCGCAUAAUCUCUGAGGAGAGAAGCUAGGGACCGCAAGGCCUGGCGCUUUAAGAACAGCCUGCGUCCGAUUAGCUAGUUGGUGGGGUAAGAGCCUACCAAGGCGACGAUCGGUAGCUGGUCUGAGAGGAUGAUCAGCCACACUGGAACUGAGACACGGUCCAGACUCCUACGGGAGCAG
rnacentral:rRNA from 1 species